GAUGAAGAACGCAGCGAAAUGCGAUACUUGGUGUGAAUUGCAGAAUCCCGUGAACCAUCGAGUCUUUGAACGCAAGUUGCGCCCGAAGCCACUAGGCCGAGGGCACGCCUGCCUGGGCGUCACACGUCGUUGCCCCCCACCAUCUACUCCUUCGGGAUUGCGGGGGGCGGAUGAUGGCCUCCCGUGCGCCUAGCCGCGCGGUGGGCAUAAAAACCAAGUCCUCGGCGACGCACGCCACGACAAUCGGUGGUUGCGAAACCUCGGUUGCCCGUCGUGUGCGUUCGUCGCGCAUCGAGGGCUCGAAAAAAUGCUCGGCUCCGGCUCGGCUUUCAACGCGACCCCAGGUCAGGCGGGGUUACCCGCUGAAUUUAAGCAUAUCAAUAAGCGGAGGA
rnacentral:misc_RNA from 1 species